AUUGAACGCUGGCGGCAUGCUUUACACAUGCAAGUCGAACGGUAACAGGCCUUCGGGUGCUGACGAGUGGCGAACGGGUGAGUAAUGCAUCGGAACGUGCCCAGAGGUGGGGGAUAACGCAGCGAAAGCUGUGCUAAUACCGCAUGUGAUCUGAGGAUGAAAGCGGGGGACCAGGCAGCAAUGUUUGGCCUCGCGCCUUUGGAGCGGCCGAUGUCAGAUUAGGUAGUUGGUGGGGUAAAGGCCUACCAAGCCGACGAUCUGUAGCUGGUCUGAGAGGACGACCAGCACCAGGGGGAUGGAGCCCGGCCCCGACCCCAUGGGGGGGCAGCAGGGGGGAAAUUUGGAAAAAGGGGCGCAGGCCUGUACCAGCAAUGCGGCGUCGGGAAAAAGGCCCUUGGGUUUGAAACCGGUUUUGGAAGGGAAGAAAAAGGUUCUGCCAAAUCCCGGGGGUGAAUGACGUUAAGGAAAAAAAAAGGACCGGCAAACUAGGUG
rnacentral:rRNA from 1 species